rnacentral:lncRNA from 1 species
UUUUUUUUUUUUACUUGUCCUAAGUCACUUAAUUCUCACAGUAAUCUUGUUUGAUGCUUAAUUAUUUUUAAGUUUUAUGAGUGAAGAAAGUGAGCCCAGAGAGAUUCAGUAAUAUUGCAAUGGAUUUAUAGCUAGUAAGUAAAAAUGUUAAUACUGCAGCCCUCUACUUUGUUUUCAACAUCUGUAUUUUCCCUCUGUUUUCCUAUUAUUUCUCUUGUCAUUGCAUGAGAUUCUUUCCUCACUAAAUAUGGUUAACAAAAAAUAGAAAAAUAAGUUUCUAACUGGAUAAGCAAAUAUACAUAUAUUUUAAUAUAUGUAGUAUCACUAAUUGUUCAUGCUUUUAGGUUGCAGUCAUUAAAAUUUGAAGAUCAUUUAUUAAAUAAAAACAAUUAUACACUAACACUUUCAAUAAUGCAACAAUACUGGAAAAAGUGACGAUAUGCAUAUUAAUGGCUUUUACUGAGUACUCAUACAAUUACUUUCAUAAUAACAUGAAAGCAAUCGAAUCCUGUGCUAUAGUCAUUAUAAAGAUUCCUCAUAAAUCAUUUAGUUUGUUAAAUUAAAGUUGAUAUAAUUCCAUCCCCUGAGAAUGUUUAGAGGUUUAGUUUUAAUGAAAAUGUGCUGAGAAAAAGAUAUCAAGUUUGCUGUUGCAUUGAAUAUUUUAUGAUACCUAUUAUAUGAAUUUUUUAUUAGGAAUAUAUUUUAUUUCACUUUUUUCAAACCUUAAAUAUCAAACAUUAGGAAUAUUUUUAAAAAGCAUUUUAAAAACAUGAAUGAUGUGCAUAUAAUUAAUUUUAUGAACAAACAUUGUUUACUUAAAUUUACUCAGUUGGUUUGACAGUAUUAUUAAGGAAGAGAUAAAUCUAUAACACUUGCUAUUAAAGAUGAGUUAAUUUUUCAUAAUUUAAACAUACUUAUUAGAUGCAUAAAUACAAGGUGACAAAAAAAAUGAAUGGCUUUUGCCUAAACACUGCAUUCUGUUAAUGCAGUAAAACUGAAAAGAAAAACAAAAUUCUGUUAUCACCAGAUGUAUCUUAUUUGAUGAUUUUGGCUAUAACCAAUAGAAACACAAAAUCAAUCUGAUUCAAUUAUGCAUGAUUUAUUGUCUCACAAAACAGGGAUCUUAAAGCUUAGAAGGACUCUAGGUUUAGUUAAGUAGAUAUCACUGAUAACAUAAUUUUCUUCUAGCCCAUCAUUCUUGAUGUCAACACAUUUAAAUACUAAUGAUCUAGACAAUGAAGAGGAAUCAGUCAUCUCUUCCGUGAGUAGCAGAUUCACCCUCUUAUCUUCACAUCUCAUUGGCCUGAUUUGGGUCAAAAAAUCAAUGCUUGGCAAGAGAAAUGGAAUUAUCAUGAGCAAUACAGAUGGUGCACAAUCAUCUAUGUGGAAAACAUGUGGAGAACUAAGUACGAGGCUGAUAACACUGAGCAUACAAACAAUUAAACACACAAAUAGGAGAGAAAUUCAAAAUGGUAAAAUUUGGUAAAAAUGCAUCUUUCAAAAAGGGCACACUUUAUCCAUGUUAUUCUUUGUUUCUUUUCUUUUGUCUUUUUUUCUUUUUUAUUUAUUUAUUUAUUUUUUUAUUCUGUGUUUCAUUUCAUGAUUACUAUUGAAAAUAAUUUAGUUGUCUGAGAAAUGUUAAAAAUUAUUUUUUUUUCUGGGCUUCAAUGUGCUAGACAAACUGUGUCCUAUGCAACUUUUAGUUAAAGUUAUUACCUAACAUUUCACAUCUGAAAUUACUCUUUUCGGCCUAACCAGUGUAUACUUGAUGUUGGAGGUCAAAUGAAUGAUAAACCCCAAGCAGGCAUUUUGAACUUACUUACCUGGUAGUCCCUACCCACAAUUUCCUGUACUAAAGUCCCUGAAUCUUUGCCCUAAAGGCUGAUUUUUCAAAGUAUUGCACUACAGUAUUCCCCAUCCCACCCCCACCCCCGCUUUAGUUUCAAUGGCUAAACCAGUUCCUAAGCAGACUUGCUAAAUGGAAAAAAUAAAUACAAAUAGAGGUAAGAUAGGGGUGGGAGGGGGGAAAAACCCUUAAAAACUGUGAAAUGCUAGAUUUAGGAGCAUGCUAGUAUAUCCAAGGGUAUAUGAAUAUAGAUCUAUAUUUUAAUAAUGAAAUUAGAUAAAAUUCCUAUAUUUUCUUUCUUAACAGAGCAGAGACUUUAUUUGUGAUAUUGUCGGUACUCUUAUUGCAUGUGGCAUUUCAUGUCUUCAGGAUGUCUAAUUGGGGCCUCAUCAUUGUCCUUCCUCUAGAUAACAUCCUGUACUCAGCGGUUUCUUUUGUGGCAUGUGUGAUUAUUUUUCCUCAGUAACCUUUUAUUGACUGCCAGAAAUGUCUAUUAGCUUGAUCUUCUCUUCCUUAUUUAGUUAGCUAUUCCUUUAAAGCAUAAGUCUGGCCAGAUGUAAUGAUAAGCAGGCAGAUGGCUCUAGAGUGAUUCUUCUUUGAUAAGGAAGUAGCUUCCUCUGAAGAUGUGGCUCUACAACUGGCCUGGCCCAAGGCAUAAUAAGUGAGUCUUGAGCUUGCACAGAGUGCUUUUUAGUUCCAUGAAGAUGGAAAAAGAUGAACAUAAACACCGAUAUUUAAGAAUAAACAACCUUCAUUUUCUUUGUGAAUAUUGUAUUCCCUGACGAAAGGGUAUAUAAAUAAAAUAUUUAUAGCUGGAAAAUUGAGUCUCUGUAAAAAAAAUAGAACCUCAUUGUUGACAACUAUCCAAUUAAUACAACUAUAAGAAAAUUGAAAUUAUAGAAGUUAAUGUAUUUUGUUACAGAGUUAAACCAAAUCUGAUCUUAUUGAUGACUUCUACCCAUUGGAUAUACAAUCUACAGCCCACUGUUUGUAUUUUCCUUUUUGAAAGAAUGGUGUGCAUUUGCAUAAUGAAGAAUGUUAGUGUGAUAUUGCUAGAAGUUGUCAAAGGUCAGUACCUGAGUAGUAUCUGCUUUAUUCAGCAUUUGUUACCAUUUUUAUGGAUUUUUGAGUUACAUCAGGACAACACGUAAGACAAUCGUGGAUGUUGAAAGAUGUCCAACAUGUGGUCUUUGAGGAAAUGAAAAUAUAAAUUGUGGUUCAUACUUACUUAAAGGACUUAAUACAAGAACUAGAAUACAUUACCUUGUGUGAAAAUUAAAAUUAUAAAAUUCAGUAGAUUAGAGAUAACUAGGGGCUCUGAAGAAUAGUAAGUGGGCAAUUAUUGCUUAAUGGUUGAGAGUUUCUGCUCAGGGGGAUGAGAAAGUAUUGGAAGUAGAUAGUAACAAUGAUUGUGUAACCCUGUGAAUGUAGUUAAUGCCACCAAAUUGUAUACUUGAAAAUAGUUAAAACAGUAAAUUUUUGUGUCUCAUAUACCUUACCAUAAUAAAAAAUAUAUUCAGAUAAGCACACCAAGGGUAAAGACAAUUUCACGACCAUAUAUUCAAUAAGCACUUUUAAGUCACAGCACAAAUCCCCUAUGGAGUAAACAUUGUUUACUAUAAUAGUGACAUGAAUCAUGUAUAUUUUUCCAUUCUUCUCUGUUGAGGAUGCUAGAUAGGCAAAAUUUAUAAACCAGUGGAGUAAUCCUCUGUCUCUCUCUGUCUCUGUCUCUGUUUCUAUUUCUCUCUCCAGAGUAAAUUCAACAAUACGGUUUAAUAUGUGAUGUACAUAAUUCAUUGUGCUUUUAAUAAUCUCAAAGUUAUUUUAUUAAAAUUAUUCUUUAAGAGCAUAAUUUUCACAUUGCUAAGUCCUUUUCUUGGCAAACUUUCUCCUAACACGUUAGCAAAACUCAAAAUGAAAGAAGUUUGCCACUCUUGCUUAUUUCAGUAUUUUAACUGUUUUCAAUAAUUUGUAUUUUAAAUUUUCUUUAAUACCAAAUGCAUUUUGAAAAACUGUUUUGAAUGUUACUUGCCUAAGGGUAUAAAAUUAUUUUUGUUCCCUGGAAAAAAACUCGUUUUAAUGGAUAAAACAUCAUGAACAAUUAAAUGAAAUAAUGAUGCAUUUCUGUGCUAAAGGGAACAUUUUAAAGAGCUACAAAGUAAAAUACACUUAAUGAUACCCUUAAACGUAUUUUUAAAAACAUCUCAAUUUGAAAUAUGCUACUUAUCUGCCAAUUUUAAGAAAACUCAAGAGAAGAGAAAUUAAUUAGGACUUUAGUGUAUAUCAGAUACUGUUGAAAUACUUCUAAUUUUUAUGGAGAGAAGAUCUAGAUCUUUUGCCCUUAAUAACUAACAAAUCUAUAAAAUCAUAUAGAUAUGGAUGUGAAUCUAUAGCCUGUGUAGUGUAACAAAUAACUGCUAACCUUAAACACUUGUACCCACUGACAUAAGGAAUAUGGCAUCCAUCGCGAAGUGCGCCAUCCUCUCAAGCUUUGAACUGUUACUUUAUAAUGUUAAUUCUUCUGAACGUCAAAGCUCUCACCUCAAAAAAUUCAUAUAUUGAACAAUACUCCAAAUCUGAGAUUUCUUGUGCAAUUUUUUUUCUAGAUGGUUUCUUUUUAAAUGACAUUCACCUAAAAUUUCUCACAAUGAAAUACAAAUAAUUUCGAACUUAGCAGUGUGGUGUUCAGGCUUUGGUCAUACGCCCUAAUGGUGAUGUGGCCAUUGGAAAAGAAUCUGUACAGCUAACUUUGUCUUCUGAAUGCAUACGCUAAUAACACAGCUAGAGCCCCAAAAUAAUUCCAUAGGAAAAUGCACUUAGACACUAGUGGUGAACAGUAACAUUUUGAGAAGGUACAGUAAUUUGAAAAGUUUUGUCCUAAUAUUAGGACCAUGGUUCAGGACAACAUGAUAUCACUAAAUUCUAGAGAUAAGUAUCUUUAAAUCUUUGCUGUAUUUGAAUAUGUGAUAGAGUUGGAUAGAUUUGAUGUGAUUCUUUUAUAAAUAUAAAAUCUUUAGCUCUCAUCCAUCAUGUUUAAACUUAAAGCUCCGCCUUUCUACUUGAGGUCCAUAACAAAAACUGGAUAGGUACAAAUGGCUCCUUAGAAUUUUCCUAGAUUCUGUUUCUUCUCUCAUAUUCUGGGUAACCUUGUAAUACACUCUGUGGUAUAAAACCCAUGGCUGUACGUAAAACAACAUGUAAUGUAAGAAUGAAAGAAUUGGGCAGUUAGCCAUUAGAUGGCAUGAUUUUUCUUUUUCUUGGAAAUAUAUAGAGAAAUAAAAUAUACCAGAUUUUGACAGAACAAUUUUGCCAAAAGAACAAUUCCUAUCAUCCUACUUACAAGACAUCUUUUAAAAAUCACUAGACCUAAGGAAAUAUAUAGAUUUUUCUAAUUAGUAACAUGAAUUCUAAAGUAUAAAAUUUAAUAAGCAGUGGUCUGUAGGGCGGUCCUUGAAGAAAUUUUAAUUUUCCCAGCCAAUGAGAAUGUAGCAUUAGGUUUUUCAGUAGAAAAACAACAAAAAAUGAAGCCUACCAUAAAUUUGUGAACGACAAAUGGUGAUGAGCCCAUCACGAAUUUGGUGUAUGUCUGUUCUCGGAAUUUGACGAUCAUGGCAGUGUGUAUUUUGUAAAGACAUCAAGGAGACCUUGGUCAUGUAAUGUGAUUGCAAUUCCCUUUCUCAUCAUCCAUCAAAUAAUAUGCAUGCCUUCUGUUUUUGUCAUUCAGUUAUAACCCUCAUAUACAGUGAUACAUGAAUAAUUUGAUAAACUACUCUUUAAUAAGUGCGGGUGGGUUGGCAAUAACCUGUUAAGGCAUAAGACUUACAACUUUUUAAUAAAAUAUUUUAACAGAGGAGAGAUUCUAAUGAUGGAAAUUGCUUUUUAGUCACAAUCCAUUGUAUGAAAUAUUACUCAAAUACAUGCCAGACAAAGAACUUUUAGCACCUCUUUGUAAGCUUACUGGAUGUCACCUUUGUGAAGUAACCAAGGGAGUCCUCUCUCGCCUGAUCUCUGAUUAAGAUUCGUCAUCACCCAGAGUAGCCAGCGAUCUACUGAAAACAGACGUGUCCUUGGAAAUGUGUCCCAUUUAAUGGUGGAUAGAGGAAUACCACCCAUAUUUUCCGUUUUUUUUUUUUUUUACUCCUUUUCUAACUAAGCAUGUUAAACUACAUCGUGUAAAAAGGCAUAUGAAAACAGAUUCUACAAAAUUUUUAUUUGAAAAUAAUUCAUGGAAAAGAUAGGAUACUUAUUUCAUAUACUCAAAAACUCCAUAGUAAUUUGUUAAAGUAUAUUUAGUGGGAAUAAUUUGUUUAAGUGUUAUAUAUUUAAUGAGGCCUCCAUCUGUAUAGCGCCUUUGUGCAAGCUGCUUUUUCGUCAGCUCCAUGGUCAUGAUUUUCCUCCUCAGUGUAAUUUUAACAAGGUGAUACUUAGGACAUUCAACUUGCUGAGCAUAAGACCCUCAAAAGCUUCGCCUAUCUCUCCUUCUCUGAAGUACCACUGGUUAUUCUAAACUAGGGGGAAAACAAAAACAAAAACAAAAAAAGAACUAACAAGACUAGAAUAGGUUAAUGCUCUACAGGAUUCAUUUUCCUUUUGUUCUGAGCUAAUUGCUAUGAGGUGUAAAAUCACACGCAAAAGGAACAUAUUCUAAAUGUUGAUAUUUAAGAUGCAGAAUUAGAUUAUAUUUUUAUAUUUUCACUUAUGAAAUGUCUUCUCUGUUUAGACAAGUUUACAAAAGUGAACCUACUUAUAAACACAUGUGUAAAUACAUAAUAUCACAAACUUAUACUUCUAUAUGAAAUAUCAAGAUUUCUUUUUUUUUCUAAAGAUUUUAUUUAUUUAUUCAUGAGAGACACAGAGAGAGGCAGAGACACAGGCAGAGGGAGAGGCAGGCUCCCUGCAGGGAGCCCGAUGAGGGACUUGAACUCAGGACCUUGGGGUCAUGGCCCAACGGCUGGCACCCAACCGUUGAGCCACUCAGGUAUCCCAAAAUAUCAAGAUUUCUUAAAAAAAAAAAAAAAACC